CCUGAACGCUGGCGGCGUGGCUAAGACAUGCAAGUCGAACGGGUGUAGCAAUACACCAGUGGCGGACGGGUGAGUAAUGUAUCGCUAACGUGCCCUGGAAUCUGAGAUAGCCAAUCGAAAGGUUGGGUAAUACCAGAUGAAAUAUCCUUAUCGCAUGAUGAGGAUCUCAAAGGAGCAAUCCGGUCUGGGAGCGGGCGAUAUCGUAUCAGCUAGUUGGUGAGGUAACGGCUCACCAAGGCGACGACGCGUAGCCGGGCUGAGAGGUCGGCCGGCCACAUUGGGACUGAGACACUGCCCAGACUCCCGUACGGGGG
rnacentral:rRNA from 1 species